CAUCCACAAAAAAGGCAUUUGUUUAUGGGCCUGAGAGACCCAUUUCAGCCCAUUAAGAAAUGUGACCUUUUCACCGCAUGAAACUCCGCCCAAAGGAGAAACAGAAAAAGUGUGGUGUGUUCCUUCAGGUUCAGGAUGAAAGCUUGAAGGAUUUGGAAUUCUCAGUUGAACCGCCAUGGAUUUAGCUUCGAGGAUUCGACGCAGUUUUCUGAGAGACAGCCGAAAAACCCAGAAUAACACAAGCCCUAGAAAUGAAUAUAAGCCUCAGCGAUCGAGCAGAAAAGAAGACGACGAUAAUGGAUUGCUCGGUGUAACAGAUGAAUUACUCGAUCACGUCAGAACCUUCGCCAUCGACACCUUCAAGAACUUCCCUCUUGAAGAUUCUGAUGCAGAGGAAGAAGCAUCCGUGAAUCCUGAUGAAGAUGGAAGUCAUGGAACGAACUCUUCAGACAAUAUGAGAAAGGAUUUGUCUGAUUGGCAGGAGAGGCAUGCGGUUCUCGUGCUAUCGAAAUCCAAGGAACUCUCACAGCUAAGAUUCAAGUUGUGUCCGCGUCUCUUAAAGGAACGGCAGUUUUGGAGGAUAUAUUUCAAGCUCGUGAGGAAUCUAGUUGCAGGAUACGAGCUGCAAGCGAUACAAUGGGCUAAAAUCAGGAGGAUGGCUAUGGAAGAUGAAGAAGCUCCAAAAAACAACUGUGUACACGAAGUCGAAAUGGCAGAAACGAAGCAAGGCGGGACGAGUUCCAGACCCCAAACUCCAUGAAAGCUUUGAAUUUGUUAUGUUACAUCAAGAGCCAAAAGACUUAGAGAGAAAACAUCACAACAGGGACUGACAUGAAUCUAAUAUUGGGAUUAUCUAAAAGGGCGAGAUCCAAAACUCUGAAGCCAGGAAAUCUAAACCAGAAAAAGAAGCUGUAAUAAUGGAGGGAGAGAGAGAGAGGAGACAUGAUGAAGUCUAAGACCGUAAGUAAUUCGCAACCUGUGACAGAAGUUGUUCAGAGGGCCGUACAAUGAACCACAUGUGCCACUUUCACUAAGACGAGAAGGUCUUAAAUUCAAUUCAAAACAGACCCUGCUUUUUCACGCAACCCAGUUUUCCCUUUUUUUGCAGAUAUAAUCUUUCAGAACCUGGUUUUUUUUAAGAAAGGCCAAAACUUGUAUCUGGUUUAGGAUUUUGGUAGGUGGUUUAGGUUGUUGGCAACCGAAUCCGCUACCUCAGACCAAAGGUUAGGGGACUCGCUGUUUAGGCUUGGAAACCGAAUCCAUUGAAGCAGCCAAAGAUCAAACCAAGAGACUGAUAUAACAAAUGGAUGGAUGGGAUUCUUGCAACGUUGCCUGUGGGCAAGAACAAGAACAGGCCGAAACAUCACAUGUACAAGGAAGAGAAAUCACAUAGUAAGGAUAUUCUACUUUGGAAAAUCAUUCAAGGAACUUAUUUUAUGGUAAAACAAGAGAGAUUCACAUUACAACGCCUCAACUAACAUGUUAGCUGUAAUACAUGUGAAUUUUGUUCCAAGACUACAAGUUUCUAAACCCUAAACCCUAAUCCUCCAAUUAAACCCUCCUCCUCAGUUCAUCAUCUCCUUUAUUUCUGAGUUUCUUGACAAGUUGUUAGUCUGUGUAAUUUAUUGGCUCUGUUAAAGUUAUACAGAUCUCCCUAAAUUACACACUUUUUUUACACUGGAAACAUAAUGUACCAUCAAGCUGCAUCCUUCAGCACCAUUCACGGCGCCAUUUUAACCCAUUCGAAACGCCCGGGAAGCGGAACUUCAUU